rnacentral:rRNA from 1 species
AACGAACGCUGGCGGCAUGCCUAACACAUGCAAGUCGAACGAGACCUUCGGGUCUAGUGGCGCACGGGUGCGUAACGCGUGGGAACCUGCCCUUAGGUUCGGAAUAACUCCCCGAAAGGGGUGCUAAUACCGGAUAAUGUCUUCGGACCAAAGAUUUAUCGCCUUUGGAUGGGCCCGCGUUGGAUUAGCUAGUUGGUAGGUUAAAAGCCUACCAAGGCGACGAUCCAUAGAUGGUCUGAGAGGAUGAUCAGCCACACUGGGACUGAGACACGGCCCAGACUCCUACGGGAGGCAGCAGUGGGGAAUAUUGGACAAUGGGCGAAAGCCUGAUCCAGCAAUGCCGCGUGAGUGAUGAAGGCCUUAGGGUUGUAAAGCUCUUUUACCCGGGAUGAUAAUGACAGUACCGGGAGAAUAAGCUCCGGCUAACUACGUG